AUGCAACCUGGCCGUCACAGGAGGAUAACCGGGAGGAAUUCCGCCUAAUACUCCAUAACACUUUCCGGGGACAUCCCCGGGAAGUCAAAGGGUUUCGACCCGGUGACGGAUGGGCAUGCGGCGCAUUAGCUAGUCGGCGGGGUAACGGCCCACCGAGGCGACGAUGCGUAGGGGUUCUGAGAGGAAGGUCCCCCACAUUGGAACUGAGACACGGUCCAAACUCCUACGGGAGGCAGCAGUGAGGAAUAUUGGUCAAUGGGCGGAAGCUUGAACCAGCCAAGUCGCGUGAGGGAAUAAGGCCCUAAGGGUCGUAAACCUCUUUUGCCGGGGAGCAAUGGUCCGCUUGCGAGCGGACAGGGAGAGUACCCGGAGAAAAAGCAUCGGCUAACUCCGUGCCAGCAGCCGCGGUAAUACGGAGGAUGCGAGCGUUAUCCGGAUUUAUUGGGUUUAAAGGGUGCGUAGGCGGAUCGUCAAGUCAGCGGUCAAAAGUCGGGGCUCAACCCCGUGAAGCCGUUGAAACUGGUGGUCUUGAGUGAGCGAGAAGCAGGCGGAAUGCGUGGUGUAGCGGUGAAAUGCAUAGAUAUCACGCAGAACCCCGAUUGCGAAGGCAGCCUGCCGGCGCUCAACUGACGCUGAGGCACGAAAGUGCGGGGAUCGAACAGGAUUAGAUACCCUGGUAGUCCGCACAGUAAACGAUGAAUGCUAGCUGUCCGGUGCGAAUGAGCGCUGGGUGGCACAGCGAAAGCGUUAAGCAUUCCACCUGGGGAGUAC
rnacentral:rRNA from 1 species